AGCAGCCGCGGUAAUUCCAGCUCCAAUAGCGUAUAUUAAAGUUGUUGCAGUUAAAAAGCUCGUAGUUGAAUUUCGGGGUCAGUAGGUUGGUCGUGCCACCGGUACGUACUGGUCUCACUGAUUCCUCCUUCCUGAUGAGCUGUAAUGCCAUUAAUUUGGUGUUGCAGGGAAUCUGGACUGUUACUUUGAAAAAAAUUAGAGUGUUUAAAGCAGGCUAACGCUUGAAUACAUUAGCAUGGAAUAAUGAAAUAGGACGUUCGAUCCUAUUUUGUUGGUUUCUAGGAUUGACGUAAUGAUUAAUAGGGAUAGUUGGGGGCAUUAGUAUUCAAUUGUCAGAGGUGAAAUUCUUGGAUUUAUUGAAGACUAACUACUGCGAAAGCAUUUGCCAAGGAUGUUUUCAUUAAUCAAGAACGAAAGUUAGGGGAUCGAAGACGAUCAGAUACCGUCGUAGUCUUAACCAUAAACUAUGCCGACUAGGGAUCGGAUGAUGUUAAUUUUUUAAUGACUCAUUCGGCGUACC
rnacentral:rRNA from 1 species